ACUGAAACCUCGAUAUGUCUUCAUUUUAUGGAAACAAAUUUGGUACACCGAUGUCAUUUCUACGUGUUAUAACUCUCAAACAAUGAACAUGCUCACGUAAACAUGCAUAAUUACAAAAUCAUAUAGUUACAUACUAGAUACCUUCUUUAAAUCAGAAAAGAACGGAUACAGACGAUUUCGUCACAUUAAUUAUUAUACAUUGUAUAUUCGUACUUUAUCCUUAAAAUAUUCAUCAAAUGUGCGGAUAAAAUUGUCAUAAGGUCAAAUUUUCUAUUACUGGGGAGUGAGAAUGAGUUUUGCUGAUGAAAUAUUUGUUAAAAGACAGCAACUGAAGCACUUCUCGACUGUUUAACUCAUACUGAUGGCACAAAGGUUUUAACAAGCAACUUGACUUGUGGGGACAAAGUCUGUGUAGUAAUUGGUGGAGCUUGUAAUCUUGAACAUUUAAGGCUGCAAAAAAUUACUCAUAUUGUUAAUGUUGCCACAGGAAUUGUAAAUCAAUUUCCAAAUGAGUUUCAGUACAAAAUGGUAGAAAUUUUGGAUUUACCUGACACAAGAAUAGAUCAGAAUUUUGCUGAGCUGUCCUCAUUCAUUGAAAAGGGACUGGAGGAUGGAAAGGUUUUGGUUCAUUGAGCCCCUCCAAUGCGAUUCAAUGUUUCUAUGGUAACUGCUAUGCAGAAUCUGUUCAAGUUUUGAGGGAAUCAGGAAAAGUAACAGGUCUUCUGUUUAAACUUGUGGGAGAAGGAAACAGCUUCGGUACAUUACCAGACCUGAAUAAAAAAGUUGUUGAAAGAACGGUUUCAUUUGGAGACACGUGUCAGGAUGUCAUGACGUGUUUUGGUUCACCUUGUAAAGUAUUUUAUAAAGCUGAAGAUAAGGUGAAU